rnacentral:lncRNA from 1 species
CUGUGGCUCUUGCUGUCUCCCGGGCUCGCCACACCUGGUGUAACAAGAAUUGUGUUCUCAUCUGAAUUACUGAAGUAUACUUUUUCCUUUGUCAUAGGUGGAAAAGGAAAGUAUCAGCAACGUUCUCACACCUACACUGUCCUUAUUGAACUUUCCAAAAGGGGAACGUAUCCAAUAAAAUAAAGCACUAAUUUACUUUCA